rnacentral:rRNA from 1 species
UAACAUAUGCUUGUCUCAAAGAUUAAGCCAUGCAUGUCUAAGUAUAAGCAAUCUAUACAGUGAAACUGCGAAGGGCUCAUUAAAUCAGUUAUCGUUUAUUUGAUAGUACCUUACUACUUGGAUAACCGGGGUAAUUCUAGAGCUAAUACAUGCUAAAAACCCCGACUUCGGAAGGGGUGUAUUUAUUAAAUAAAAAACCAAGGCCCUUCGGGGCUCCUUGGUGAUUCAUAAUAACUUAACGAAUCGCAGGGCCUUGUGCCGGCGAUGGUUCAUUCAAAUUUCUGCCCUAUCAACUUUCGAUUGUAAGGUAGUGGCUUACAAUGGUUUCAACGGGUAACGGGGAAUUAGGGUUCUAUUCCGGAGAGGGAGCCUGAAAAACGGCUACCACAUCCAAGGAAGGCAGCAGGCGCGCAAAUUACCCAAUCCCGACACGGGGAGGUAGUGACAAUAAAUACUGAUACAGGGCUCUUUUGGGUCUUGUAAUUGGAAUGAGUACAAUUUAAAUCCCUUAACGAGGAACAAUU